rnacentral:lncRNA from 10 species
CUCAUGGUGAAUUCUUGGACUGAGAUCUAGCUCUUGCUAGAACCACAUUUGUUUCUGCAAGUAGGGCUUUCCAGAGCAAACACUCAGAUCUAAAUCAAGAAAGGAAGCCUAUCAGAGAAGGAAUAAGUGAAGGUAUUUCCAGCAGUUUGCUGAGAAGAAGACUUUUUGAAGAUCACGAUGGCCCUUCAUUUCUUGUUUGAUUCUUCUGGAUAAAGCAGCAUGAUAACCUGAAAGGAAAGCAUAAACAUCUGGAGCAGUUCCAAAGGCAUCUGGGGAGAGUCAG